AUACUAUUGCAAGAAAGGUUGAGGCUCAGAUCUGCAAAGGAUUGCAGAUCGGGUGAGAUAUGACAAACUUCAUGGCUGUAACCAGAGUUGCCUGUGAAAUCUUAAAGAAGAACCAAACAGAUCUCUCCCUCGCACAGGCCCUCCGGAUCACCCCACCAAGAAGUGUAUGGGGUUCUCAAAGCCUUAGUCAAGCUCAGAAAGCUAUUGUCGCAGCCAAGAAAGCUAUCAUCACAGCCUCUUGGCUUUUUUUACUUCUUAUUGUCCAAGCUGUUUCAGUGGGGUUUGACGCACCUUAACGAAUGGGUACAAAGUAUUCCUCUACCGCGUGUUCCAAUGGAAAGUUCAAAGUGCGUUUAAUACCAUGCCGAACAGACCGACAAAACAUGCCUUGUGGCAUGUGAACGGUUAGAUCCUUAAAAAAAUUCAUUUGCUUUUUCUUACCCAAAUCCUUGAUGCAAAUGAAGCCUCAAGGACGCAACUCUUAAUUUCCGAAAGGGAAAAAACAAAACAAAUGCAAUGCCUCCCACAACCACCACCACCUCUACUACUACUACCACCACCGCCACAUAGCCACACACACGCCACACACACACACAAGUGAGGAGAAAAUUGAGGCUCAGAUAUGUUUUUUGAUAGAAGAGGAAAGCGUGUUCCCACCAUGGCUGCAACAACAGUUACCCCAAUCGAAGAGAGGACCAUCAAUUCUCUCCCACAGGCCCUCCGUGUUUGCCUCGCCAAGAAAAUGGGUUCCAAUUCCUCAAUAGUCAAUACAUGACCUCGAGAUAUAUCAUCACAGCCUCACCUAUACUACUUCAAAAUAUACUCCCUCCAUCACAAAUUGUUUGUCCACAAUCCACAUGUAUCCAUGCAAAUACGCAAAGGGCUGUUUUCCGAACUGAAAUCAUAGGCUUUGAUGAUCUGAUUAAGGGAUAAUGAUCAUCAAAAUAAAGUGAGGGGCAACCACCCUUAAAACAUCCCUUCUCACCACUUGAGCCUCAUUCUUUGAGUUCAAUUCCUCGAAUCCCUCCAUGGUAUACAUCAGCAACAGCAACAGAACUGCAGAAGCAACUAAAGAAAAAGGAAAUGGAAAUGGAGGCAUGGUUAGGUUUGCUCAAAAACCAAAUCCUA